GGUUGGUUGGAAUCACCACAUUCUGCCGCUUCAUAUGCAGCUUCCGCCAGGCCGGUAAACGCCCAGCAAACAUUAGCAGCAACACGAGGUUCAGCUUUCAAACCAUUAACAAGACUCUCCAGCAGUGGUUUCAAUUGUAAUCCUGCUGCCAUCCUCGCCACCUGGCUGUUGCCACCCUGAACCAGGAUGUCGGACAACAUUUUGAUAAAUGUUGUAAAGUUAGUGGCGGCUGCAUGGUCCAGUUGAAAGCAGUUAUAAAGACUAAAUGGAAAAAUCCUGGCUAAUACAUAUAUUUACAAUAGGUAUUAUUUAUAUUGACUAUCACAUAUAGUAUCUCAAUUAAAUGGUCCCUUCAAUGUUGUUAAAACUGGUUUUCACUAUAUUUUUAAAUUAUUAUUUUUUACAUAUUUACCAACAUCCUUUACCAUAGUCAGUAAUUGUAAACUGUAAGUUAAAUAGGAAUAUCUUAUUCAAUUUAAACUAGAAUUCACAUUAAUAUUAUUAUUUAAAAAAAUGUAUUGGCUGAAAGACUAUCUUACUCAGGCUCUGUAGACAUGUUUGUAGAAUGUAAAUUAAAUUAUUAUUCACUAGCUAUUUAGUUCCAGUGACAAAGGUUUGAUACAAGAUUUAUACCAGCUUAAUAAUAUACAUUUACCAGUUUCUAUGUAUUAAUGAGUGACAAAUUUUUUGUACUAGAAAUGUUUAAAUAUUGUUACAAAAGGUGACAUAUUUUAUCGUGCUUUCUCAUUACAUUACCUUGGCUCCUAAGAUGAUUAAAACAAUAACAAAUUUAUUCCAGCAUUUCUUAUUGGGAUUUGUCCAUUCAAGUUCAUUUAUUUUUUUUAUGCUGUUUGAUUGGCAUGUUUAGACAUGAUGAUGAACUAAUGCUGUUUCAGUGUGAUUCUAUUACCAAAAAAUCUGAUUGCACAAUGACAUGUUGUGUUAAUGCAGGAAUUAAUGUCAAUACAUGUAUACCUAUAUUUAGUUCAAGCAGAUAAAAAACAUGUUUUAUUGGUGAUUUCUUUGUGUGCAUCCAUACAUAUUUAAGUAGAUAUUCAUUUAUCAUUUGCAGUUUUAAUAUAAACGUAGUGAAAAGAUUCCAUUAUUGCAUCCAUAUGCUGUGUUAUUGUAAUAGAAUUAUACAAAAGAAACGAGAUGAAAAUAUGACAAUUGAAGUAAGAUUGUAUAACCUACAAAUUUUGAGUAGAUAUUCUUGAGGGAAUGGGACGUUGCAACAAGUGUAUACAAACUUACGAAGCUCUGUAAAACAAUAAGCUGAACGUUUAAAGACCCCGACUAUUAUAAUGAAAUUUGAAUUUAUAUGAUUAAGAACUAGAAGUUUCCCCGUCUGACAGUUGAAGAUUGUCACCAAGUAUUUCAAAUUCUGCUUUUAUUAAUCUAAAUAAAAUGAUGUACACCUAAAAACACGCUUAAAUAUGCGCCCUAAUCAUUUAAAGCUAUCAGAACACUAUUGCCCCGUUUUGAGCACCUAGUGUAAAGUAAAAGUCGGUUAACAAUAUGAAACGCCAUCCAUGUUAAAUAUCUUAGAAAAGCAGACACUUACCUGGAGAUACAGUCUUCUCUAGUAUUUGUAUGAGUGUUAACGUCGUUUCCGUAUGCAUUGUGACACUGUUAUUAAAUAAAACUGAAGCUAAAAUAA